rnacentral:lncRNA from 1 species
UUUCUGAGAACAUUCCAAAACCAAACUCCAUAGUUCAUUGAUGCUGUAGUGAAACGUAAGUGCAAUUCAGCUUAGUUAGUUUUCUUUUCGUCUUCUUUAAGUGCUAAAGUUUCUGAACUACUAGAAGCUUGAUCCGUAUCCUCCCCAGCAAAACCAAACUCAUUCACUCGUUUCUUAUCCACUGGAUAAACCCAUCUCUGAUAUAGGUAUAUUAAAAAUAUAAGAUCUGCAUGGCAAAGACAGAUGAAACAUUAGAAAACGAAAGCGAAAUUCAGCUUAGUUAGUUUUCUUUUCGUCUUCUUUCAGUGCUAAAGUUUCUGAACUACUAGAAGUUUGAUCCGUAUCCUCCCCAGCGAAACCAAACUCAUUGACUCGUUUCUUAUCCACUGGAUAAACCCAUCUCUGAUAUAGGUAUAUUAAAAAUAUAAGAUCUGCAUGGCAAAGACAGAUGAAACAUUAGUAACCCAAUUGGAUGAAAGCUAAUGCAUAUAAUAGAACCACACAAACGCAUAGAACGCUUGCAAUAAUAGACUUCUAAAACAAGAUGACCACAAAAAUUAGUGGCUCAACUAUAUGGGUAAUGCAUAUAAUAGAACCACACAAACGGAUAGAACGCUUGCAAUAAUAGACUUCUAAAACAAGAUGACCACAAAAAUUAGCGGCUCAACUAUAUCAAUUAGGCAGAAACAAAUGUAAAAGGAACAGUAGCAUCCAGGCAAUGUCUGCUUACUGCUCCUUUGGUUUUCACAAAAAACAGUAUUACAAAAUGGUCAACUAAAUCCAACAUAUAAGCUGCUACAAUCAAAUAAACAAGGUCAUCGUUUAUAAUGGUUAAAGAUUGCUCGAGCUUCUGUUAAGAUGUUUAUAGCAACCAGUAGUGAAGUUUCAACAGUGAGAACACCGACUUAGCAUCUUAAAAGAUGUUCUUAUCUAGCUGGUCACUUGAUUAACCAAGAAAGUCCCAAGACCAUGGCGUUGGUGUCGUAAUAGAGAGGUCACAGACAGUCAAUGAAACUCUCUAAAGAGUCUGCAUAAUGUUCUAUGGCUUUGAGCUUAUGAAACAACAUUAGAAUUCAAAGUAACAGGCAAAACUGGCUUGGAUUCCACUGGUCAGAGAAGAACGGCCGCUACUUAACCAAAUAAAAACAACCAAUCAACUACAAAGAAUCUUAUUUCAAAAACUUACCAUCACGGAACACAGAUAGGCGAUGUAGCAAUGGCAUUUUUAUUACAAAUGCAAACAAAUCAUCAAUAAUGGUAUUGAGAAACUUGUAAGUCAUCUGCCUCCAAGGUAAGUGAGCAACAGACUUCAGCUUAUAAUUGAUGAACAACUGGGGACACAUCAUAACAAAACCUGCAACAAUAAGAAUAGAAAAUAAUAAAUUACCAAGAAGCAAAGCGGUAGAAGUAUAUGCUAUCAGAAGUCCUCGCUUUAAAUGUUUUUAAGAGUACAGGUUUCUAGAAACUGUGAACUGCGCACUAAUGGAAAUUGUACUAUCAGUUGCAAGAUGAUCUGAAAAUGUUUAUCACAUUGUUCAACUGAUGCAGGGCUUUGAACUACAUUACUGAGAUCCUAUAUACCAAUGAGAUAAAAGAUGAAAAGAUCAAUAGAAACUUACCGAACAUAUAGACGCAGCUUGUCAUGGAUGAGAGGAUCCACGAGUACCAACUCUUGUGACGUUCAUACAUUAGAGAGUAUAUGGAAAAGCACACGACAAGGAAGAACAACACAUAGGACAAAUACUUCAUGGCAAGAUCAUCAUAUUCUUUCGUCUUAUUUCCAGCAUAUGAUUCCCGAUCUCGGAACCUCAACAUAGGUAUUCUACCAGAUCUGUCAAUCUAGAAAUCAAGGACAGUUAACAAUAGAACUGUUGGUGGUUUGAAUUUAUGCUUAAUCAAUCACAGUAUGUAAAAAGAAGGCAUCAACAAUGAAGAAGACAUUAAGAAGUUUGAAUUCUAUUUACUUUUUCUCGCACAUUCAGAACACUUGCACUUCGAAUUAUUUUCAAAUAUUGUUGUGUGUUAAUUCAGAUGCCAGUUGCAAACUCCUCUGCUAAGAGGAACGAAGGAUCUCAAGAGUCCAUGGAAAUGAAACUAAAUUGUACGACUUUAUAAUCAGUUACAAUUCUUUUCCUCUGCUAUGAAACUCCAUUUGGAAAAGGGUUGACCAUAGCCUAAAUUCUGGUUAGAUUAUCACAUAUGCAAGUUUUUCCAAGACUGCUAUUUGGAAAUUUUCUGAAUGAAGAUUGUCAAAAAUAUUGAGUCACUAAGCAGUUAUCUUAGUUACGCCCAAAACAUAUUGAUUCCAACAGCAAUGAAAGAAAAACAAACUCAAAAAACCUAUGACAACAGAUUCUGGUACUAUGGGUUAAAUAAAAAUUAAGGAACUUAAGGACAGUCAGGGGAAGCUUAAUGUCCUGGAAGUGCCAGAAAUACCUCUCAAGCCGCUGUCUGACAAUCUCAGAUUCUCGAUGAAGCUACUCAUUUCUGAGAACAUUCCAAAACCAAACUCCAUAGUUCAUUGAUGCUGUAGUAAAACGAAAGCGAAAUUCAGCUUAGUUAGUUUUCUUUUCGUCUUCUUUCAGUGCUAAAGUUUCUGAACUACUAGAAGUUUGAUCCGUAUCCUCCCCAGCGAAACCAAACUCAUUGACUCGUUUCUUAUCCACUGGAUAAACCCAUCUCUGAUAUAGGUAUAUUAAAAAUAUAAGAUCUGCAUGGCAAAGACAGAUGAAACAUUAGUAACCCAAUUGGAUGAAAGCUAAUGCAUAUAAUAGAACCACACAAACGCAUAGAACGCUUGCAAUAAUAGACUUCUAAAACAAGAUGACCACAAAAAUUAGUGGCUCAACUAUAUCAAUUAGGC